rnacentral:rRNA from 1 species
AAGUUCCUUCCGUAGGGUGAACCUGCGGAAGGAUCAUUA